rnacentral:rRNA from 1 species
GUGAGGAAUAUUGGUCAAUGGGCGGGAGCCUGAACCAGCCAAGUCGCGUGAAGGAAGAAGGAUCUAUGGUUCGUAAACUUCUUUUGCAGGGGAAUAAAGUGCAGGACGUGUCCUGUUUUGUAUGUACCCUGAGAAUAAGGAGCGGCUAACUCCGUGCCAGCAGCCGCGGUAAUACGGAGGAUCCGAGCGUUAUCCGGAUUUAUUGGGUUUAAAGGGUGCGUAGGUGGUUUGAUAAGUCAGCGGUGAAAGUUUGCAGCUUAACUGUAAAAAUGCCGUUGAAACUGUCGGACUUGAGUGUAAAUGAGGUAGGCGGAAUGCGUGGUGUAGCGGUGAAAUGCAUAGAUAUCACGCAGAACUCCGAUUGCGAAGGCAGCUUACUAAGCUACAACUGACACUGAAGCACGAAAGCGUGGGGAUCAAACAGGAUUAGAUACCCCAGUAGUCC